rnacentral:rRNA from 1 species
GACGAACGCUGGCGGCGCGCCUAACACAUGCAAGUCGAACGGAGCUGAGAGAAGCUUGCUUUUCUUAGCUUAGUGGCGAACGGGUGAGUAACGCGUGAGUAACCUGCCCUGGAGUGGGGGACAACAGUUGGAAACGACUGCUAAUACCGCAUAAGCCCACGAUCCGGCAUCGGAUUGAGGGAAAAGGAUUUAUUCGCUUCAGGAUGGACUCGCGUCCAAUUAGCUAGUUGGUGAGGUAACGGCCCACCAAGGCGACGAUUGGUAGCCGGACUGAGAGGUUGAACGGCCACAUUGGGACUGAGACACGGCCCAGACUCCUACGGGAGGCAGCAGUGGGGGAUAUUGCACAAUGGGGGAAAACCUGAUGCAGCGACGCCGCGUGGAGGAAGAAGGUUUUCGGAUUGUAAACUCCUGUCGUUAGGGACGAUAAUGACGGUACCUAACAAGAAAGCACCGGCUAACUACGUG